GGUUCCCCACAUAUUUUGUUGUAUUAUAUGAUUUGGGCCGAAAGCCCAUGGAUCACAAUUUAUGAAAAUUCCUGAACCUGAAGUUUUGAGUAUAUAGUAGUUAAUGCUCUUCACUAUUAUAUUACAAUAUUAUCAUGAUUUUUCCUCAAUUCAUAUUUCAUGUUCAUUUGAAAAGGGCCAAUAAAUUAUGAGGUCGUGUUUAGCCUGGGCCAGAAGUUACGGGCUCACAUGCAUUGAAAUAUGUAAUUUGAGAGAUUUGAUGUGGUUACUUGAGCCUAUAA
rnacentral:lncRNA from 1 species